ACUUCACCUCUCAGGCUCUCACGCCUCUCUCUUCGCCUCUUCAACACUUCUCCUCCGCCUGCCUGAAGAACGACGACGGCGCAGCGGUGCUUAUGGAUGACGCCGCCCACCUCUCUUCUCCAAUUAUAUCGUCCGGCGAAUCGCGUUAGAUCAGGAACGCUUCUUCGCCUUGGGAUCAUCGCAUCCUCGUCCAGAUCCGGAACCGCUUCUUCUGGUCGCCAAUAGCUUCGAGAGACGAUAAACGCCACUCAAAUGCUCGCCUUUCGACCUCAGCCCCGAGAAUAAGUGCAUCUCCAUCAGAAGACAAUAUGAAGGUAAUUGGUAUUCUUCUGGGUAGAUGAGGGGUGAAUACUCUGUGUUUUUAUGCAUCAUAUCAUGUUGUAUAUGUGUUUAAUUGGCAAAACUCAUUUUAUGACAUAUAUUUGGCCCCAGGAAUAAGAUAUGGAGUGAUAAAUUGAAUUACAAUGAUAAACUGAAUGAUAAUGAGCUUUUUUUUUUCUUUUUUCUUUUUUGUUUGUUUGUUUGUUCGUUUGUUUGUGCAAGCAUAAGGCGAGUACCUUAUAUUGAAAAUAUGGUGUUGAUUUACUAAAGCUUGGAUGCUGCAUUUGUUGCCAAUGUCUCUUUGUCAUUGUCUUCAGCAAUCUGUUAACUGUACCAGCUGCAGGAAGAUCAUUGGAGCAGUCUCCUGUCUGUUAAAGAUUCUCACCAAGUCAAUUCAGUUGCCAAUUAGUCCUGAUUGGGUUGGGGCUGGCAAUGGUGAUGGGCUUAGCUAUCUACUUGCUUCUUUGGACAAUUGAAUACCGCAUCACUACUGACGAGACCGAACUAAUCAGGAAACAAUUUGAUCUUGCUAAUAUUGGAGGAGUAGAUUUGAUGAGGAGGCAGGAAAAGAGCUACUUGAGAUAUUAAAUAGCUUUGCUGCUGGGUUGAGGAUCCUAAUUCAGAGGCCUUCAAAUUGCACCUGCCAAGAAUCUAUGAUUAUAUCUGGAUUGCUGAAGAUGGCAUGAAAAUGCAGGGAUAUAAUGACAGCCAAUCAUGGGACACUGCAUUUGUUGUCCAAGCAAUCAUAGAAGAAUUAUCAUCAUAUCUGGCUAGCAAAUUUUGUAGCCGGAGGUGAACGAUGUUCGGCCUUCCAGUUGGUGGGGGCUUGUAGAGAAAUCCUGGGGCAUUUCACAGAAGUAUUCCCACGUGCUUCCAUUUUACUCAAAUUUUGAUCAGAAGAAGCUGCAAUUGCAGAAGGAGAAGAUAGGAGAUGAAACUCACUUAUGUACUUCAUUCUCAACUUAGUAAUUAGCACUAUUUUGAUAAUAAUGCAUACUGUAUUGAUCUUUAUAAAAUUUUCUGAGCCAUUUGUGGUUAAUGAUUGUUCAGAUCAAACUUCUAGCAA